GCUACACAUAGGUACACGCCUGAGUCCUGGCGCCGCACGCUGCGCAGCAGCAGCCCCCGCGCGGUGCGCUCAGCGCGCUCCUCCACUAGCACCUGUUGGGAGAGGGGCAGCGUGAGGCUGCAGCUUUUGGGCCAGGAACGGAAACAAAAGGUCAUUGGGAACCCAGGAGAAGCGGAAAAGGAGCACCUUCAGCUGCAUGUUUGAAGAAGGAAGAAACCACAUUCACCAAGAAGACCCCAGGACAACUUCUGUACCCUUGAGUACCCUUGAGGCUUUGAAGUGGGUUAUGGCAGGAAUACCCUAGCUACAUACCAUGCCAGGCCGUGGGUAAGGGACACGACCCUGAUAGGACACCCACUGGUGUGUGGGCCCCUCCUUAUGUGCAAAAGGUCCCAGGAAGGCCCUGCGAACAUCGUUCAUGCUAUACACACACACGGCAGAGCCCUGGAAGAUGCCACUGCAGACAAUGACAAGAGAAGAGUGAGGGGCCCCAGUGAGCCCAGCAGGCCUGAAAGAGAAGAGGGUGUCCCCUACCUCUUAUCCCUCACCUGGAACUGGAGAAGACAGCAUAGAGCAGUGGAGUCCUGCGGUCCCGUGAAGACAGCAAGAACACGUCCUCUGUAUAGAAAGGGUCUACUUGGAGAAGGGUGCACAGCCAGCCUCUCUGGCCCAGUUAGGCUCCCGGAAUCUGCACCCCUGAGCUUUUCCCCCAUCAUAUCUCCCACUCAAAGCACUUACGAAGCUGGUCGAAGUGGGUGUCACCCUCAACCCCAGGCACUGAGCACACCAGCCGCGCCUUCAGGAACGUUGUCCACUUGUUGACCAAGCUGCGCUGGCCACCCACAUCGUUCUGCCAGGAGAAUCUCAAGGUAUAAGAGUGGGGCAAAGGGGCGAGGUCAAGGUUGCCCAGGGAGUGGCCCAGGGAUUCCUCACCCGGCAGAUCUGACCAACUCGAGACACAGUCAGGCGUCCCACUGCAGGUGCUGCCUCCACGGCCGACUCACGGAAGAAGAAGUAGAUUUUGUCAUCGUCAGGGUUCUCACUCUCCGGGAUCCAGAAGACCUUGAUAAACUUGGGUUCUAGCCGCAAUGGGAGGCAUAAUGUUGGGCCCGCCAACUCACUACCUGCCCCCUCUGCUCAGCCAGCAGCUACACCAACAGUAGCUUCUGACCACCCAGCUUCCAGGAUCUGCGAUGCAAGGAACAGCCACAAGGGGACAGCAGAGUCCGUGGCUGCCUGAGCCAGCCGGCAGAGAAGAAAUCCCUGGGACCUCAAAUGGAGCCCCUCAGAGUUCCCCAGGCACGCAGGAAAGGAGGAAGAGGAGAUUGGGAAUCUGGUUUCAUCUUGGCUACUGAAUCUUUCUCAGGACCAGAUCAGAUGCUCCCCACUCCUGCUGCAUCCCAUGCUCUUAAAAUAAACUAUUCCAUCCCCUGA